rnacentral:rRNA from 1 species
GAUGAACGCUGGCGGCGUGCCUAAUACAUGCAAGUCGAGCGAACAGACGAGGAGCUUGCUCCUCUGACGUUAGCGGCGGACGGGUGAGUAACACGUGGAUAACCUACCUAUAAGACUGGGAUAACUUCGGGAAACCGGAGCUAAUACCGGAUAAUCUCUUGAACCGCAUGGUUCAAUAGUGAAAGACGGUUUUGCUGUCACUUAUAGAUGGAUCCGCGCCGCAUUAGCUAGUUGGUAAGGUAACGGCUUACCAAGGCAACGAUGCGUAGCCGACCUGAGAGGGUGAUCGGCCACACUGGAACUGAGACACGGUCCAGACUCCUACGGGAGGCAGCAGUAGGGAAUCUUCCGCAAUGGGCGAAAGCCUGACGGAGCAACGCCGCGUGAGUGAUGAAGGUCUUCGGAUCGUAAAACUCUGUUAUUAGGGAAGAACAAAUGUGUAAGUAACUAUGCACGUCUUGACGGUACCUAAUCAGAAAGCCACGGCUAACUACGUG